UCGGGAAUAUUGCGCAAUGGAGGAAACUCUGACGCAGUGACGCCGCGUGCAGGAAGAAGGUUUUCGGAUUGUAAACUGCUUUAGACAGGGAAGAAAAAAGACAGUACCUGUAGAAUAAGCUCCGGCUAACUACGUGCCAGCAGCCGCGGUAAUACGUAGGGAGCGAGCGUUAUCCGGAUUUAUUGGGUGUAAAGGGUGCGUAGACGGGAAAAUAAGUUAGUUGUGAAAUCCCUCGGCUUAACUGAGGAACUGCAACUAAAACUGUUUUUCUUGAGUACUGGAGAGGAAAGUGGAAUUCCUAGUGUAGCGGUGAAAUGCGUAGAUAUUAGGAGGAACACCAGUGGCGAAGGCGACUUUCUGGACAGAAACUGACGUUGAGGCACGAAAGUGUGGGGAGCAAACAGGAUUAGAU
rnacentral:rRNA from 1 species